GAUGUUGGUGUAUUCGCCUCUGUGUUAGUCGAUUUGCGCGUGUUUCGCUGCGUUGAGGUGUUGCAAAGAAAAGUGAAAAUGGAGAUGUACAGCGAAUCCAAUAGUCUCUCCCGGUAAUGAACCGAAGCAUGAAGGUAUUUAAAUAUCUUAGAAGCCUCCUCUUGCUUGUUGGAUUCUUCUUCCUUACCGUUUUGCUUCUGUUUCCAUUCUUUUUUCACUUCUUCUCUUUGGAUCCUUCUUGCAUUGUUGUUGAGGGUGAGUGAUGGUUCUGUUAUGGUUUCUUGGCGGAGUUUGUGAAGGUUGAAGUUAUUGAUUGGAGUUGCAGCUCAGAUGCGGUUAGAGAGUUUGUUGUGCAGAGUUCGUCUGCGUUUCAAAGGAAGGAGGAAGAAGACGCCGAGAAGCUGCUUGUGCCGCGGCGGUUGUUCGGAAAGAGGAAGAAGGUGAAGUGAUAGUGAUGAAGAUUCGUGUAACUGUGACAGUUGCAGUGUCGAUUCUGAAGAAAAAUGAAAAAUCUUCCCAAGUAAAUCACAGUACUGGCUUAUAUACAUUUUCAAUCUGUUAGAUCGGUUAGCUACCGUUAAAAUCUUUGUGUAACUCGGUUAGGAGUUAUAACGCUGCUAAUUUGUUUGUUAAGGGGUUGUUUCCGUUAGAGCCAUUUUUACAGGUUAUAAAAUAAUUGAGUUUUCCACUCUCCAACUUGGCUUUGCAGUUUUUGGUGUAGCUGUUGACGUCAUGGCCUUGAGUUGUUUUGGAUGGCGCCGUUUCCGCAUUUCGGUUGCAGCUUGUUUCGCGUUUGGUUGUGGCUGUUGUUGUUUCGCGGUGUUGAAUUUAACGUUUGCGCUUCGUCUUGGUUGUGUGUUAGUCGCAUCUUUCACUUGCCUGUAUUCCACUUCAUAGCGAUUCGUUCCAUCCCAUGCUGCGUUUUUACUUGCACUUUGUCUCAUUGAAUGAGGAUACGACUAUGUCAAUUGAAUAUUGGGUAUCUAGUUGAUUAGAUUUGGUGAAUCUAUAUCAGUAUUAGAUAUUGGAUAUGGAUUUAAAUGGACAUUGGUUUGGAAAAUGGGAUGGUAAUAAGAACUGGGUAAUUGGCAUGGAUGAUGGAUAUCUGGAUUAAUGGGUUUGAUAUUGGGCUUAAGAAUCUUGCACAUUGCAAAUGUUAAUUUUUUAUGCUGAGUUUUUUAUAUGAAAAAAGGAAUGGGCUGACUCUCGAAUAGCACAUGCAUGGCCCAUUAGGAAAAAACGAUUCCACAAAUCAACUUGAAUUUACACAUUAACUUGAAUUAUCCAAAUUAACUCGAAUUUCCAAAUUAA
rnacentral:lncRNA from 1 species